GCAACUCGACUGCAUGAAGUCGGAAUCGCUAGUAAUCGCAGAUCAGCAAAGCUGCGGUGAAUACGUUCCCGGGCCUUGUACACACCGCCCGUCACACCACGGGAAUCGGUCGCGCCUGAAGCCGGUGGCCUAUCAGUAAUGGGGGAGCCGUCUAUGGCGAGAUUGGUAACUGGGUGAAGUCGUAACAAGGUACC
rnacentral:rRNA from 1 species